CCAAGGGCUACGGACAGUUCCGCCAUAAUCUUCUUCAAGGAGCAAAGCUCAUCAAAACCUUGUGCAGGGACAAGCUGGACUCUCUCGGACAACCACCUUUGAAGGCGGGCAACUUCGUCUGGAGCCUCCUUCGGUAGUCCUCUACUUGUCUGCUCCAGCCGACUCGGUGGGUGUCGUAAGUCGCCUCGACGUCCCGCAGCUAUUUUUGAAGGUCAG
rnacentral:lncRNA from 1 species